rnacentral:misc_RNA from 1 species
GAUGAAGAACGCAGCGAAAUGCGAUAAGUAAUGUGAAUUGCAGAAUUCCGUGAAUCAUCGAAUCUUUGAACGCACAUUGCGCCCCCUGGCAUUCCGGGGGGCAUGCCUGUCCGAGCGUCAUUUCUGCCCUCAAGCACGGCUUGUGUGUUGGGUGUGGUCCCCCCGGGGACCUGCCCGAAAGGCAGCGGCGACGUCCGUCUGGUCCUCGAGCGUAUGGGGCUCUGUCACUCGCUCGGGAAGGACCUGCGGGGGUUGGUCACCACCAUGUUUUACCACGGUUGACCUCGGAUCAGGUAGGAGUUACCCGCUGAACUUAAGCAUAUAAAUAAGCGGAGGA